rnacentral:rRNA from 1 species
CGGGACGGGGUGAGUAAUGUCUGGGAAACUGCCUGAUGGAGGGGGAUAACUACUGGAAACGGUAGCUAAUACCGCAUAACGUCGCAAGACCAAAGAGGGGGACCUUAGGGCCUCUUGCCAUCGGAUGUGCCCAGAUGGGAUUAGCUAGUAGGUGGGGUAACGGCUCACCUAGGCGACGAUCCCUAGCUGGUCUGAGAGGAUGACCAGCCACACUGGAACUGAGACACGGUCCAG